rnacentral:rRNA from 1 species
UACGUAGGGGGCAAGCGUUAUCCGGAUUUACUGGGUGUAAAGGGAGCGUAGACGGCGAUGCAAGCCAGACGUGAAAGCCCGGGGCUCAACCCCGGGACUGCAUUUGGAACUGUGUGGCUGGAGUGUCGGAGAGGCAAGUGGAAUUCCUAGUGUAGCGGUGAAAUGCGUAGAUAUUAGGAGGAACACCAGUGGCGAAGGCGGCUUGCUGGACGAUGACUGACGCUGAGGCUCGAAAGCGUGGGGAGCAAACAGG